rnacentral:rRNA from 1 species
GUAGGGAAUAUUGGACAAUGGGGGGAACCCUGAUCCAGCCAUGCCGCGUGGAGGAAGACUGCCCUCUGGGUUGUAAACUCCUUUUAUAUGGGAAGAACCGUCCUCAUUAAUGAGUGACCUGACGGUACCAUAGGAAUAAGCACCGGCUAACUCCGUGCCAGCAGCCGCGGUAAUACGGAGGGUGCAAGCGUUAUCCGGAUUCACUGGGUUUAAAGGGUGCGUAGGCGGAUAAAUAAGUCAGUGGUGAAAUCAACGGGCUCAACCUGUUAACUGCCAUUGAUACUGUGUAUCUUGAAUAUGAGAGAGGUAGGCGGAAUGUUGCAUGUAGCGGUGAAAUGCUUAGAUAUGCUACGGAACACCGAUUGCGAAGGCAGCUAGCUGGGCCUUGAUUGACGCUGAGGCACGAAAGCGUGGGUAGCGAACAGGAUUAGAAACCCUUGUAGUCC